GGACAGAAUGCAGCAACAUGAAGUUAGGACAGACAGGAGGCAGAUGCUGGGAGUUCCUGCAGCUGGCAACAUCUCCGUGGGGAAUCACAGCCUUGGAUUUCUGGCAAAGAUAACGAUUGGAACCAAAGAGAUUCAAACCAACAUAAAGAUGAACGCACGUUAGAUCAGAAUCUGGGGAAAUGAGUUGAGAAACCUUGUGAAGCAGAGGUAAAACAAAGUUAAUGCGUUUGGUGACAAACCUUCUCCACAAGGCAGUUGCUAUCCCUGGAAUUUCUGUGGGUAAACCUGGUAAAACAUAGGCUGCCUGGCUGAGAUUAACAGGAAAUGUGUGAAUCCUGCACUUGAAUAGAUGCUGGAGCAGCGAGAUGCCACGAGCCUGCUGCCCAUCCCAGCCCUGCCAAGGCAGCCUGCCGAGCUGCCCAGGCUCUGGACACACGUCAGGCCUUUCCCAAGUGUUUCUCCAUGUGGA
ensembl:lncRNA